CUGAAUACUGACAUGGAAAAGAUAUUCAAGGACUUGGAGGCAGAGGCAGCAGUGGGCCAAGAUCACGCCACUGUACUCCAACCUGGGCAACAGGGCAAGAUCCUGUCUUUAAAAAAAAAGAAAAAAAGGAAUGAUAGUAUAGCAAAAGGGUGGGCAAAAUCAGGUUAGGUUGGCCAGGCACGGUGGCGCAUGCCUGCAAUCCCAGCACUCUGGGAGGCCAGGGCAGAUGGAUCACUUCAGCUCAGGAGUUCAAGACCAGCCUGAGCAACAUGGCAAAACCCUGUCUGUACAAAAAAAAAAAAAAAAUCCACAAAAAUUAGCCGGGCGUGGUGGUACAUGCCUGUAGUCCAGCUACUCAGGAGGCUGAGGAAGAAGGAUCACUUGAGCCCGGGAGCUUGAGGCUGCAGUGAGCUGAGAUCAUGUCACUCACUGCACAUUAUAGUCUCAGGCUGGGCGUGGUGGCUUACGCCUGUAAUCCCAGCACCAUGGGAGGCUGAGGCGGGCAGAUCUGGGCAGAUCACAAGGUCAGGAGUUCGAGACCAGGCUUACUCGGGAGGCUAAGGCAGGAGAAUUGCUUGAACCCAGGAGGCAGAGGUUGCAGUGAGCAGAGAUCGUGCCAUUGCACUCCAGCCUGGGUGACAGAAUCAGACUCCGUCUCAAAAAAAAAGAAAAGAAAAGAAAAGGUAACAAGGAACUAGAACUAGAAUGUUACAGUAAAGACAUAAAUGAUGUCUAAGUUGGUCUAACUUGUGAAAAGGGGAUAAGGUUUUUGAGAUGGAGUUUCACUCUUGUUGCCCAGGCUGGAGUGCAGUGGCACGAUAUCGACUCACUGCAACCUCUGCCUCCUGGGCUCAAGUGAUUCUCCUGCCUCAGCCUUC
rnacentral:lncRNA from 1 species